rnacentral:lncRNA from 1 species
CUGACCAACUGCAGAGAUGGCAUGACGGACAGCUGGGGGGGGGCGGUCCCGGGAGCCUCUCCGGCCAAUUGUCCGAGGGCUCGUGACCUUUGACCCGAGGUCCCCCCCCUCCCCGGGGGGCAGGAAUGGGAAGGCGGUAGGUGCCACAGAGACUGUCAGAGAAGCAUUUGGGGGAUGGAGAAGAUGGCAGGAAAGGAGAGAGCAAGCGCCCCCCGGCCGGGGAACCUCAGCGCCAACGGCAAGCACGGGCACGGCCCUGCUGUGCAACUGCUAGUGGAUGCGAGAGGGGAGGCUCCCUGCAGCCAGGAGAUGUUUCUUUCGGCACCAAGCCCGGUCCUGGGGGCGCUCAACAAACGCACACACGGACUCGCUGAGAGCGUGAGGUCUCCCCCACAUUAUUGGGGUCCCCUCAGCCACUGGAACCCAGGUUCUGCCCUGCCCCCGCUCUGAGUUGGCAAGGGCUGGGUCCACAAGUCCUUGGUAAGCAGCAUGUGACGGCGGCAGACACUUUUGUUGUGCUUUGGAAUAUAAUGAAUUUUUAAAAGACAAGUGUCUCCAAAAUGUCUUUUAGAGCCCGGCCUGCCUGCCUGCCGUGGGGACCGUGCCGUCCAAGGGCCAGGUUUGCUUUGUUGUUAUCAAGAACAUUCCUUGCAAGCUGUGACUCCUUUCUGGCCUC